rnacentral:rRNA from 1 species
AUUGAACGCUGGCGGAAUGCUUUACACAUGCAAGUCGAACGGUAGAGGGGGCAACCCUUGAGAGUGGCGAACGGGUGAGUAAUAUAUCGGAACGUGCCCAGUCGUGGGGGAUAACGUAGCGAAAGUUACGCUAAUACCGCAUACGAUCUACGGAUGAAAGCGGGGGACUCGCAAGAGCCUCGCGCGAUUGGAGCGGCCGAUAUCAGAUUAGGUAGUUGGUGGGGUAAAGGCUCACCAAGCCAACGAUCUGUAGCUGGUCUGAGAGGACGACCAGCCACACUGGAACUGAGACACGGUCCAGACUCCUACGGGAGACAGCAGUGGGGAAUUUUGGACAAUGGACGCAAGUCUGAUCCAGCCAUUCCGCGUGCAGGAUGAAGGCCCUCGGGUUGUAAACUGCUUUUGUACGGAACGAAAAGGUUUCUAUUAAUACUAGGAGCUCAUGACGGUACCGUAAGAAUAAGCACCGGCUAACUACGUG